rnacentral:rRNA from 1 species
UGGGGAAUUUUGGACAAUGGGCGCAAGCCUGAUCCAGCAAUGCCGCGUGCAGGAUGAAGGCCUUCGGGUUGUAAACUGCUUUUGUACGGAACGAAAAAGCUCUCUCUAAUACAGGGGGUGAAUGACGGUACCGUAAGAAUAAGCACCGGCUAACUACGUGCCAGCAGCCGCGGUAAUACGUAGGGUGCAAGCGUUAAUCGGAAUUACUGGGCGUAAAGCGUGCGCAGGCGGUUUUGUAAGACAGAGGUGAAAUCCCCAGGCUCAACCUCGGAACUGCCUUUGUGACUGCAAAGCUGGAGUGCGGCAGAGGGGGAUGGAAUUCCGCGUGUAGCAGUGAAAUGCGUAGAUAUGCGGAGGAACACCGAUGGCGAAGGCAAUCCCCUGGGCCUGCACUGACGCUCAUGCACGAAAGCGUGGGGAG